AGCCUACGGGACGCAGCAGUGAGGAAUAUUGGUCAAUGGGCGGGAGCCUGAACCAGCCAAGCCGCGUGAGGGAAGAAGGUACAGCGUAUCGUAAACCUCUUUUGUCAGGGAACAAAGGCGGGGACUAGUCCCCGGAUGAGGGUACCUGAAGAAAAAGCAUCGGCUAACUCCGUGCCAGCAGCCGCGGUAAUACGGAGGAUGCGAGCGUUAUCCGGAUUUAUUGGGUUUAAAGGGUGUGCAGCCGGAGAGACAAGUCAGAUGUGAAAUCCACG
rnacentral:rRNA from 1 species